rnacentral:rRNA from 1 species
AAAGAUUUAUCGCCUUUAGAUGGGCCCGCGUCAGAUUAGCUAGUUGGUGGGGUAAAGGCCUACCAAGGCGACGAUCUGUAGCUGGUCUGAGAGGAUGAUCAGCCACACUGGGACUGAGACACGGCCCAGACUCCUACGGGAGGCAGCAGUGGGGAAUAUUGGACAAUGGGCGAAAGCCUGAUCCAGCCAUGCCGCGUGUGUGAAGAAGGCCUUAUGGUUGUAAAGCACUUUAAGCGAGGAGGAGGCUACUGAGACUAAUACUCUUGGAUAGUGGACGUUACUCGCAGAAUAAGCACCGGCUAACUCUGUGCCAGCAGCCGCGGUAAUACAGAGGGUGCGAGCGUUAAUCGGAUUUACUGGGCGUAAAGCGUGCGUAGGCGGCUUUUUAAGUCGGAUGUGAAAUCCCCGAGCUUAACUUGGGAAUUGCAUUCGAUACUGGGAAGCUAGAGUAUGGGAGAGGAUGGUAGAAUUCCAGGUGUAGCGGUGAAAUGCGUAGAGAUCUGGAGGAAUACCGAUGGCGAAGGCAGCCAUCUGGCCUAAUACUGACGCUGAGGUACGAAAGCAUGGGGAGCAAACAGGAUUAGAUACCCUGGUAGUCCAUGCCGUAAACGAUGUCUACUAGCCGUUGGGGCCUUUGAGGCUUUAGUGGCGCAGCUAACGCGAUAAGUAGACCGCCUGGGGAGUACGGUCGCAAGACUAAAACUCAAA